rnacentral:rRNA from 1 species
AUACGUAGGUGGCGAGCGUUAUUCGGAUUUACUGGGCGUAAAGGGUCCGUAGGGGGUUUGUUAAGUUUGAUGUGAAAUCCAACGGCUCAACCGUUGAACUGCAUUGAAAACUGGCAGACUAGAGUAUAAGAGAGGAAAGUGGAAUUUCUGGUGUAGCGGUGGAAUGCGUAGAUAUCAGAAGGAACAUCGAAGGCGAAGGCAGCUUUCUGGCUUAUUACUGACCCUGAGGGACGAAAGUUAGGGGAGCGAACAGGAUUAGAAACCCUAGUAGUCC